CCUUUGGUGUAGGUUCAUGUGGUUUGACAACAUUGGUGGGGGAUUAGACAGUGCUUUUCAGAACUUCUUGCUUAAGAAAACAUCAGUAUUGGAUAUUAUUCCUUUACAUCGGAAAGAAAUUAAAAGCAUAUUUAGGCCAUGUCCUGAUUCCCAACGUACACUUUGCCUGAAAGGAUGGAAAGCUGUUUGGCAUAUGAUUGAAAAAAUAUAUACCACCGCAGUUGACUAUGGUAAUCUUUNGAAGGAAGAGAAAAAGGGUCAAGGGAAGAGAAGAGCUUUGUCUGAGCUUCUUAAGCUUUUAGAAAGCAAUGGAUUGUCUGGACACAAAUCAGCUUAUACANNAGUAUGAAACUGGCUGUUUAUUUUCAUGAAUGUCCAGAUUACUUAAUAAAAUUAUCUAAGAAAAUCCCAUUUUCACUUUUUUCCUUUCUUUUAUUUGAACUAAUAUACANGACCAGCAAAAACUUGGUGGUUCCUUCAGCUUUCUGAGAACAUAUCGUAUUUACUCCCAACCAGCAGUAGAUUAGAGUGUGUAACCCCAGGAAUUCCUGAAGUUGAAAAUAAGAGUAUUGAAGAAGAAAGUUUGCUUAUGGAGUGGAAAACUGCCACUGAUUAUUACUACAAGAGUGUUGUGUCCGUGCUGCUUAUGCAGCAGAUGUGCCUCAAUCCACAUAAAGAUAUAACUUUUCAACAGUUUUCUGCAGUGAUUAUGAUAGGUUUGAUACAGUUUACAAAAGAAGGAAAAAAGAAGGUAGCUAAUACAGUUGUAAUUACAUAACUGUAACAGACUAUUAUAAAUAGUCUUAUUAGGAGGUGAGCAGGNAGUUUUUGGGGAGUAUUUUGUAAAGGAAAAAGUUAGGAGAGACAGGUCCUUUCGAACAGUGCUUUUUGGUUUCUUAAUAAACAUCCCAGAAUUGUCUUGGAGUUCUCUUGUAAAGUCUGGGUAGCUAUCAGAUUAUUUAUUUAAUAAUUGGAUUUUUCAUAUUUGCUGCAUUGCUUUUUUAAAAGUUACAGUUCUUGGAAGAUGCUAUCAAUCUUGCCCACAAGUUUCUUUGACUUCUGAGUCAUAUAAUUGCUUUGGUUU